GCUUCCGGAUUGUGAUAAUUGAGUGGAUCUAUGCAUUGAGUUAGAAAUUGCACCUAAAAUUUUUUGUUUGUGCCCAACAAGAGAAAUGGGGUAAGUUUUGAAGUUAACGUUCGACUUCUCGGUGGUUUAAUGGUAUGACGGUACACAAUAGCAUCCAUUUUAAAAAGAAGUAGCCAUGUGUUCAAAUAUGAAAGCGUGUGCGUGAAAAUCGACUGGUUGGAACAAGUAAACCGACGUUAUGUUCAGGGUUUCAGAAAAAGUGGUGGACUUUGCAAGUGAAGGGUUUCUUGAAGGUCAGAGGCAUCUCCUGAGGGUGAUCCGAGCAGUAGUGUUGGUAAUCAAGGGAUGAUGUGGACAACCAUUUUGAUGAUGUGCCUUUAUAGGAUGUUGC
rnacentral:lncRNA from 1 species